UUUUGUGAAGAGGGAUAGGUAAGUGCAGGGAGUUUGUGCUGCAACAGUGCCUGGCAAUUUUUCAGAAAUGAGUUCGAUAUUUCACUCCACCUUUGAGCUGUUCACACCCAUGGCUAUCCCUGGAAGGAGCUGGGGUUGUUCAUGCUUUCGGCUGCCUGGCUUCCUGAGGUCUCGCUGCUUUCUGGGGAAAGAUGACUGGCUUCCACGUGGGAAGCUUCUGUCUAGCACGUGAUGAUGUGGUCCUGCCUGCCACUGUGCACCUUCCCAGGUAUUGAAUUUUGACCUUUUCUUUUCAAGUUUCUGUGCUUAUGUGUUUUUAAUGUUUACUUUUGCCACUUACGAUAAUAUCACCAAAAUAAUAUGCAGAGAGUUUUGGAAGAAACACAGAAAACAUGAGGAGAAUGAGACAAUUCCUUGGGCUGUAGCUUGGACCCAACUGAAUCCUGAGUACUCUGUGGCUGAUGCUGUGCUACCCGUGGGAGAGACACACUCAGGAGUGGCUGUUUGACCAGAAAAGAAGGUCAUGGCCCCUGGCCUGGCCCCAGCCCUGCAGGGACACAGGAGCCACACCAUUUGCAGCAUCCACACCUUGCUCCAGAAGGCCUGGCUGCCUUCUCCCGGGGGGUGAUUCAGGGAUUUAGUCUUGGACCAGACCCCCCUCCACAGCUGCCCAGCUCCAGACCCAUCUCCUGGAUUGAGGGUGUCUGGGCUGGACCCAGUGGGUCACUCUGGCAGCUUCAUCUGAGCCGAAGGUGUGGGUCCUCUGUGGCUGUGCGAUUGACCUCUAUGGGAAGGAGCGUUCUGCCCAUUUUCCUUGUUUUCAGUGCUGCGGUAUCAGACAGUGAUCUGAGGAAAUCCUGUCGGGGAAGGCAGGCUGCUUUGAAAACAGGAGCUGGUGAAACUGAGCCCUCUGCAUCUGUGAAUGUGCCCCAGGUGCUGCUGCUGGGGACAUGGAUGCCGAGCGGAGGCCUGCGUGGCCUCCUGAGCAGCAGCUGACCGCCCGUCUCAUGCUGGGCGGGACCCCUGGGUGGGUGGACAUGAGACCACUGUUGGCCAGGGACACCGAGCGGAGGCCUAUGUGGCCGCCUGAGCAGCAGCUGACCGCCUGUCUCACUGUUGGCCAGGGCUUUGUGGCAUGGGUGUUUUCCAGUCUGCCUGGAGCAGCGAGCAGCAGCUGUGCAGACCAGUGGCGGUGGGAGGGUUUGCCGGGACAGAUGGGGACACUGGCCAGCUUGUCUUCUGUCCAGCAGCCCCACUGUACUUGGCCUCCUGUCCUGUCACUGGGAGCCCUGGCUGGGGCUGCUUUGAGCAGUGACGCUGGCCCAGAGCAGCUUCCCACAUGACCAGAGCCGAGGGUCUGCCCUGUCCUAGGUUAGGUCUUCAUGGUUUAGAAUAAAACUGUGAGAGAUGUUUAUUAUGGGCAUUGAAGACUUAGGUUUUCCUAAAUUUUCAGUGACCAGUGAUCGGCCUUCAAUACCUGUGCUGAGAGGAAUUUUAAGCCAGGGGAAAUGUGAGAAAAUGUUCCCAUUCAGGAGAGACUGUACUGGAGUUUCUUUCUUCCUCUGUAUUUUGUGGUGUUCACCUUUAACCACAUUUCAUCCAAAAAGAUGACGCAGCUUUAACAUGAAUGUUACAUUUUUAUUUUCAAGGAAUUAUCUAUGUUCCCUUUGUAAAGGAAAUAUUGUAAAUCUUUUUAUUAGAUAAUGUAAAGAUGUAUAUCAGUAUUUUUGGAUCAUGUUAUAGAUUAUGGAUAUAUUGUUUAAUAAAUAAAGUAUUUUUUGGAACAAAC